rnacentral:rRNA from 1 species
GGCCUACCAAAGCGACGAUCAGUAGCCGGCCUGAGAGGGUGGACGGCCACAUUGGGACUGAGACACGGCCCAAACUCCUACGGGAGGCAGCAGUGGGGAAUAUUGCACAAUGGGGGAAACCCUGAUGCAGCGACGCCGCGUGAGUGAAGAAGUAUUUCGGUAUGUAAAGCUCUAUCAGCAGGGAAGAAAAUGACGGUACCUGAGUAAGAAGCCCCGGCUAACUAC